UUAAGCGACUAAGCGUACACGGUGGAUGCCCUGGCAGUCAGAGGCGAUGAAGGACGUGCUAAUCUGCGAUAAGCGUCGGUAAGGUGAUAUGAACCGUUAUAACCGGCGAUUUCCGAAUGGGGAAACCCAGUGUGAUUCGUCACACUAUCAUUAACUGAAUCCAUAGGUUAAUGAGGCGAACCGGGGGAACUGAAACAUCUAAGUACCCCGAGGAAAAGAAAUCAACCGAGAUUCCCCCAGUAGCGGCGAGCGAACGGGGAGGAGCCCAGAGCCUGAAUCAGUGUGUGUGUUAGUGGAAGCGUCUGGAAAGGCGCGCGAUACAGGGUGACAGCCCCGUACACAAAAAUGCACAUAUUGUGAGCUCGAUGAGUAGGGCGGGACACGUGGUAUCCUGUCUGAAUAUGGGGGGACCAUCCUCCAAGGCUAAAUACUCCUGACUGACCGAUAGUGAACCAGUACCGUGAGGGAAAGGCGAAAAGAACCCCGGCGAGGGGAGUGAAAAAGAACCUGAAACCGUGUACGUACAAGCAGUGGGAGCCUCUUUUAUGGGGUGACUGCGUACCUUUUGUAUAAUGGGUCAGCGACUUAUAUUCUGUAGCAAGGUUAACCGAAUAGGGGAGCCGAAGGGAAACCGAGUCUUAACUGGGCGUUAAGUUGCAGGGUAUAGACCCGAAACCCGGUGAUCUAGCCAUGGGCAGGUUGAAGGUUGGGUAACACUAACUGGAGGACCGAACCGACUAAUGUUGAAAAAUUAGCGGAUGACUUGUGGCUGGGGGUGAAAGGCCAAUCAAACCGGGAGAUAGCUGGUUCUCCCCGAAAGCUAUUUAGGUAGCGCCUCGUGAAUUCAUCUCCGGGGGUAGAGCACUGUUUCGGCAAGGGGGUCAUCCCGACUUACCAACCCGAUGCAAACUGCGAAUACCGGAGAAUGUUAUCACGGGAGACACACGGCGGGUGCUAACGUCCGUCGUGAAGAGGGAAACAACCCAGACCGCCAGCUAAGGUCCCAAAGUCAUGGUUAAGUGGGAAACGAUGUGGGAAGGCCCAGACAGCCAGGAUGUUGGCUUAGAAGCAGCCAUCAUUUAAAGAAAGCGUAAUAGCUCACUGGUCGAGUCGGCCUGCGCGGAAGAUGUAACGGGGCUAAACCAUGCACCGAAGCUGCGGCAGCGACACUAUGUGUUGUUGGGUAGGGGAGCGUUCUGUAAGCCUGUGAAGGUGUACUGUGAGGUAUGCUGGAGGUAUCAGAAGUGCGAAUGCUGACAUAAGUAACGAUAAAGCGGGUGAAAAGCCCGCUCGCCGGAAGACCAAGGGUUCCUGUCCAACGUUAAUCGGGGCAGGGUGAGUCGACCCCUAAGGCGAGGCCGAAAGGCGUAGUCGAUGGGAAACAGGUUAAUAUUCCUGUACUUGGUGUUACUGCGAAGGGGGGACGGAGAAGGCUAUGUUGGCCGGGCGACGGUUGUCCCGGUUUAAGCGUGUAGGCUGGUUUUCCAGGCAAAUCCGGAAAAUCAAGGCUGAGGCGUGAUGACGAGGCACUACGGUGCUGAAGCAACAAAUGCCCUGCUUCCAGGAAAAGCCUCUAAGCAUCAGGUAACAUCAAAUCGUACCCCAAACCGACACAGGUGGUCAGGUAGAGAAUACCAAGGCGCUUGAGAGAACUCGGGUGAAGGAACUAGGCAAAAUGGUGCCGUAACUUCGGGAGAAGGCACGCUGAUAUGUAGGUGAAGUCCCUCGCGGAUGGAGCUGAAAUCAGUCGAAGAUACCAGCUGGCUGCAACUGUUUAUUAAAAACACAGCACUGUGCAAACACGAAAGUGGACGUAUACGGUGUGACGCCUGCCCGGUGCCGGAAGGUUAAUUGAUGGGGUCAGCGCAAGCGAAGCUCUUGAUCGAAGCCCCGGUAAACGGCGGCCGUAACUAUAACGGUCCUAAGGUAGCGAAAUUCCUUGUCGGGUAAGUUCCGACCUGCACGAAUGGCGUAAUGAUGGCCAGGCUGUCUCCACCCGAGACUCAGUGAAAUUGAACUCGCUGUGAAGAUGCAGUGUACCCGCGGCAAGACGGAAAGACCCCGUGAACCUUUACUAUAGCUUGACACUGAACAUUGAGCCUUGAUGUGUAGGAUAGGUGGGAGGCUUUGAAGUGUGGACGCCAGUCUGCAUGGAGCCGACCUUGAAAUACCACCCUUUAAUGUUUGAUGUUCUAACGUUGACCCGUGAUCCGGGUUGCGGACAGUGUCUGGUGGGUAGUUUGACUGGGGCGGUCUCCUCCUAAAGAGUAACGGAGGAGCACGAAGGUUGGCUAAUCCUGGUCGGACAUCAGGAGGUUAGUGCAAUGGCAUAAGCCAGCUUGACUGCGAGCGUGACGGCGCGAGCAGGUGCGAAAGCAGGUCAUAGUGAUCCGGUGGUUCUGAAUGGAAGGGCCAUCGCUCAACGGAUAAAAGGUACUCCGGGGAUAACAGGCUGAUACCGCCCAAGAGUUCAUAUCGACGGCGGUGUUUGGCACCUCGAUGUCGGCUCAUCACAUCCUGGGGCUGAAGUAGGUCCCAAGGGUAUGGCUGUUCGCCAUUUAAAGUGGUACGCGAGCUGGGUUUAGAACGUCGUGAGACAGUUCGGUCCCUAUCUGCCGUGGGCGCUGGAGAACUGAGGGGGGCUGCUCCUAGUACGAGAGGACCGGAGUGGACGCAUCACUGGUGUUCGGGUUGUCAUGCCAAUGGCACUGCCCGGUAGCUAAAUGCGGAAGAGAUAAGUGCUGAAAGCAUCUAAGCACGAAACUUGCCCCGAGAUGAGUUCUCCCUGACCCUUUAAGGGUCCUGAAGGAACGUUGAAGACGACGACGUUGAUAGGCCGGGUGUGUAAGCGCAGCGAUGCGUUGAGCUAACCGGUACUAAUGAACCGUGAGGCUUAACCUU
rnacentral:rRNA from 1 species